ACCCGGUCUCGUCAGAUCCCGGAAGUUAAGCAACAGUGGGUCAAGUUAGUACUUGGAUGGGUGACCGCCUGGGAAUACUUGAUGCUGUAGACAA
rnacentral:rRNA from 1 species